UUUUUUUUCCUGAAUCUCGGGUGUACCUAUGUAUGUGAAAUAUUGAGUAAGCACAUGACACCAUGAAACUCUUCAGUGUGGCUGAGAAAAUAAAAUGAGCAAAAGUACCACGGAAUAUUCAAUAAAGUUAAAUCCUUAUCUUGAGAAACCAUAAUGUUUAUAAUUUAUGCCCCCAUGAAAAGUUCAUAAUUUAUGGAACACCAUUCAGUUUCAGUGAUCUCUCAUUGACCAUACGAAAGAUGAAACUCUAGAAUAAUUUAUAAAUGCAUCCAUACAAAUAUGUCCUUUACCUAAAAUCUAUUAUUCAUUCUUUUGGAUAUAGCUGACCAUUUAUGCUGAAUGGCCCUUUAUCUAAAAUCUAUAUGAAACACUUAUACAGUGUUUAGUAUAGAUGAAAUUAUUGCGGAAUUCAGGAAGAAAAAAAAGUGAGCCAUCACGAUCAGCACUAAAACAUGUAUAUGACUUACCUGAGAAACAUAAAUAUGCAUAUACCUUCAGAUCGUUGCAUGUGUGCGAAGUAAUCUGCGGUAACAAAUUGAAAAUUAGGAAGAAAAAACGUUCAGAGUUAGACUACAGAAAGCAACACAUCAAUUCGAAAUCCCUUGAGUUAUUGCAAAAAGAAAUUGUUUACCAGCUAGAACGCAAUGUGUAUAAUCUGUCCACCAGAAGCAUGAAAAAAGACAGCGAUUUCAGUACCCCUUUCAGGAAAGAUGCAAGAGAAUUUAUUAGAGAGAGAGAGAGAGAGAGAGAGAGAGAGAGAGAGAGAGAGAGAGAGAGAGACUUCAUAGAAGGUAAAAAUCAGUGGAAUAACUUCCUUCUUGUUAAUUUAUAAGACUUGGAACAAUGAAUAUACUCGAUUCAGUCAACUUUUAGUACCUACGUAUAACAUCAUAGACAACUAAAAGAGGAUGAACGGUGUGCUGCCACCUAUCCAUCACUGGCCUCGCCUCGUACAGCCACUCGUGCGUCCACCGCUUCCUUCCGCGUCUUGCCGUCGCUGCCGCCGGGGAGGGUUUCCUCUUGGAUGCGGCAGUUGCUAGUUGAGGCAUGGUGUCCAUUGCUGUUGGAUGAUUGUCACCAAACAAAUCAGUGUCACACCAAUCGCGGAAUCACUGAAUCCACGAACCAUAUGAUGCAUCUGCAAGGCUCAUCAAUUUACCUUUGAAUCCACCAAUCCACGAAAGGCAAAAAAAGAACUUCAAAUCUGGCUUCCCAUGUUCAGAUCGGGGCUCCUCUCACCUUCUACAUGGGCGAUGCGAAAGCUGGUACCGCCCGCGACUUCUCCGGCACGGCGCAGCGCAUCGGUAGAUCAGCCGGCAGGGCGUACGUGGACCGGCAGAAGGUGAUUGAGAAGGCGGGUUGCGCUGCGAGGCAGAGAAGGGUGCGGAGAGAUUAGCGGAUCGAGAUAUAGGAGAGGAUGCGGCAGUCCUUACUGCUGCUGGUGGUGGAUUGUCUUGGUUCGGGAGUUUCGGGAGUAAUAAAAUCGCUUCCCUAUUUGCUUAAGUCCUAAGACUUUUUCUAGUUCCAGACACUAAUCAAAAAAACUCUUCAAUAGAGUUUUUUUCUAGUCCCUAUAGAAAAAAUCCCUUCUGUUUGGUUCCUAGGGACUUUUUAGGGACUUUUCCUAGUCUCUGGGACUAAAAAGUCCCUGAACCAAACACCCCCUAACUCUUCGUUGGUUCAUAAGGCAAAAGAUCAAACGACUUGUCGCUUUGGUGACCAGGGAGAUGGCUACACGAUUUGUAUUUGUUCAUUAUUAUUUUUGGCUGCUGUGGCAUAUUUGCUGAGUUGGACAGGCUACAUGUCAAAUGUAAUAGCAUAGUGGGGAUGAACUAUUUAGUGGGUUGCUCCUAUUUAGGUGAUGAUGUGGCAUGGUGAUGAUGUGGAUAGUGUGCAUGUUGAGAGAAUAGAUAGAAGUGGGGAGCAACUUCUUAAGAAUGUUAGAUAACCUGAGAUGGACCAUGUUGCAAAGAAAUAUUCUGAGACUGGUUGGAGGGCAAAAUUUUAGUGGUAGCAGAGCGAUUGGGGUUGUAUUUUCUCAAAUGAAAUUUGAGCAUCCAACAAUUACAAUUUAUAGUUCGGGAAGGAGAAGGUAUAUACGGGCAUGAUUUCUAAUCGUGUGUACAUGCAUUCGCAAAAAUAGUCUCAAAACAUUCAAAUAUUGUAUACGUUGAAUGGGCCACGCACUUGAUUUUGACUUGUGUGUAAGAAAUGGCACUUUUAUAGGUUUUCCAUUCCGUGGUCAUCUCCUCUAUCACCUCUUGAUCGUGUUGUUUGUAUGCCAUGCAAGGUAAAUGUCAUACAGCAUUUUUCUCUGAUUAUCCUUUCCUUCCCUUUAUUAUUCCAUUUUUUUUGCAAACAGAUAAACCGUGUAUAAGAGAAAGUUGUUGCAUCCCAAUCACCCUGAAAAAGAUGGUUGUAUAUCAAUGAUUUCUUUCCUGCAUUGUUUCUGCUAGCGGUUACUAUAAGAGAGAGGUGUUGAAAUGACCGGUGAAGCAUGGAGAGAACACACUUAAUUGGUGAUUGUAUACAAGAGGGGUGAAAUGCAUCAUUCAAGAUAGCAGCCGACAAGCACGACCCAUAAAUGGUCCAUUUCUCCAGGCUAUUCGUCGUAGUCAGGUUUGAUCCGUUAAUUUAGACAAUUUGCUUCUUUUCUUAAGAGUCAUCUAGAGAUAUAUAUUAGUCCUAAGCAACAAACUAAAGCUGGGGAUGCUCUUGGUGCAUCUCUGGCCCUGCUCGUUGGUUGCCCACAAACACAUUAAAGAUCAACUGAAUGAGACAUUUUUGCACACAAAAGGUUUUGAUACAUAAUGAUUGUGGUCAACACAGCUUGUCAGUAUUAACUUUGUUUUCCACCAUGAACUCCUCGUACAUCUACUCGACACAUGGCGGCAGAGGCUCCAUUGAGACAUAUACGGGUCAGAUUUGCAGCACACGAAUUCGCCCCGCAAAUCUAAUCUGCAGCAAACUAUAAACGCGUUUUUCGGGUCUGACUUUUUACGGAGUCUGCUAUAGAUGAUCUAAUGUCGAGAUGUGUGCGCCAAAUUUCAGUUUGAAAUUUUUCACGCUUUGAAAUAUUUUUUCCGAUGGCAGAAGCGCGCGCUCCCAUGUGCCAAAGCGAAUUUCCGAAUAUGGAGUGCAAAGAGAAAUCUAAGCUAGAAACUCCCGCGUUAAUCAGAAAAUACUAUCUCUUCAUUUGGUGGACCUAUAUAAAUAAAAAUGUUGUAAAAGUUAGAUCUACAUAACAUGGAAAAUUUGUAGCCCGCUCGAUUUAAUGUUCCCUAUCGCUCCCUGUUAUGUCUGAAAUUACUAGUUAAGGGUUAUCCCUUGGAAAGGCCGCUCCCCACUUCUCAGACAUUGGCAGGUGGUGUACUACAUGUGUCACAUGUCGCAAACUGGGAGUUCUAUUUUUUUUCUAGAUUUGUUUAUUCAAACAUUUUAUCUCUUAAACUACAUGUCCAAAUGCCGAACCAUUUCACUGUUAGAUUUCUUGCGUCGAGAUCUUUGAUGCUAGAUCCGAUAUUAAUAGGUUUCAUCGAACUUCUAUUCAUGAAAAAAUGAAUACAAAAAAACAAAUACACGGAAAACAGAAGAGAAAAACCAGAGCCUGGAAGUACGUUUGCGGUUUUUCACUUUUCCCCCUUUUUCGAGAAGCAUAGUUGUGCAUCUCGCGAAAGCAAAUGUGCGCUUCCAUGAGAAGUAAAUAUGUGCUUCAUAUGGAAGCACAUUUUUUUUUCUUUUUGAGAAGCAGAGCUGUGCUUCUCGCAGAAAUAGUCUGUGCUUUCACAAGAAGCAAAAAUGUGCUUCUUGCGGAAACAUAGCUUCUUUCCUUUUCGAGAAGCACAGUUGUGAUUUGCAAAAAAAGAAUCUCCAAAUCAUAGGGAAAACCAGGCAAAAACUGAAACGCCGAAUGCCACGUCAAAAAAAACCAUCUAAAUCAUGAAAACACGUACAAAAAAAAUAAAAGAAAUCAAAAUACAGACGAAACGCCUAGCAUACAACGCGUGGCAGUGGCUGGGCGCACUCCUAUGCCACAUAAGUGAUCCCUGUGGGAGUCCAGUGAGGGGUAACUCUUAGUUAGUUGCUAUUUGUUAUGCCUCUGUCUACUAUAAGGACGCAGAGACCUCCUGUUCGAUGCCUUAUGUGACAGCUGGCAAUCCAGUGUUCACGCGCCACACUCGCGUGGGCCAUCACAACAACACACUUUCUGGAUUGCUCGCUUGUCCGCCCCAUUCGCUGGCUCGGUUGACCAUUUGACCGUUGACCAAGACUGUGGACUAUACACUUUUCUAUAAAAAGUUCACAAAAUUUUAUUUUAUUUUAAAAACAAAAUAACAACGAGUUGAAAAAAUCUUUAGAAAAUUGAAAAAUUGUUCCCCAAUUCAAAAAAAUCACGGAUUUGAAAAAGUUCAUGAGUUUGAAACCAAUAGUGAGUUUGAAAAUUUUCAUGAAUUUGGAAAUAUUCUGGAGUUUGUAAAAAAAUCAUGAGUUUGUUUUAAAAGUUCAUGAAUUUAUAAAAUGAAUAAAAAAAUAGGUCCACUAAUUUAUUAGAAGUUGACUAUUUUUUAAAAGUUCAUCUUUUUAUAAAAUGGAACUUAAAAACAAAAAGAAAAAAGAGGCAAAAAGAAAAAACGAACGAAAUCAAACUAAACUGACUAAAAAAACAAGAAAAUAAACACUAAAAAAACUGGAGCUUGAAGUUUCCUAAAACUACAUGGAAGCUUCCAUAGACCAGAGAGCUAGCUAGUGUCGGCCCGUUAGAAAGGAAGCGCCAGGCAGGGGUGUGUGCCACAUACCAAUAACAAACUACUUGGCGCUAUAAGCGCCAAAUAAAUAGGAAUUGGCAAGGACGCAGGGGACAACUUGGAUAUUAUCCUUUCCUCCCGAGACGCCUCUCCUCAAACCCUAGCGCGAGUAGAAUGGAUAUUAUCGUUGAUCUAGUUUCAGAUCGAUCAUACCGAGCCUUGAUAUAUGUCGCUACAUGGGGGAAGAACUAACCUGAUCGCCCACAUCUGUCUGCGGCUACAACGGCUGCUCGAUGUGGUAUUGUCCAUGGGUUCCACGUAGAGAUUCGAGGGAUGCAACGGAAAGGAUGACACAUGCAGAGUCGGGAAGGCCCGGCGAGCUGGUCGGCCCUUCCCAGGUGGCCAACACACUAGCCUAUGCAACAACAUAAGCUGAGCCAGAUACUUGCAGAUUCCAAGGUGCCUAAAUUUGUGUUGAAGGUUACACUUCUCCUUGCAUAUAUAGCAUGUGUCAUCGAGCCUAAGUCAUUAAUAUACUAAGGAGAGAAUAAAAAUAAGAAACAUCACACACAUCAUUUGCAUCAUCUUGUCGAGUUCAUAGUGCUUGGCAAUGGGACUUCUGUAUGGUAGGUGGCCGUGACCUUUUUUCUAGCUUGGCGGGGUGACUUACGUCUUGGCAGUGGCAUCUCGACUACGUCAACUACAUAGUCCCUUAGACCUUGUCAAACUCGGCUACGUCGCCCCGCUGACUUGAUUGAUCUCGCAUAUAUCUCUAGUUCUCCACGACACAACACGACAUCUAAAUCGUCCUUGCCAUUGUGUGCAAGUUUUUGCAAAUUGGUGUCCAAGUUACCAACUACCAACAUUUCUUAGAAGAUGAAGCAUUAGCGGCAGCGGAGAAUGACACGGCACAAACAGCAACAUGACCUCUAAGCGACAGGCUAAUGUUGCUCAAUUUUGGCUUGACAGUUCUCUUGCUAUGUGUGAGCUGAGGAAAGGCAAGUGAGACGGGAGUGUCUUGCUAUUUAAAUGUUCUCUUUCCUUUGGGUCGUUCGAGGGGCCCCAUUGUACUGGGCCCAUAUGCAUGUGCGAACGAGCGGGGCAAUGAAACACAAAUAAUAGAAACUCUAUUUUUUCUACCAAAGGAAUAGUGAGACUUCUAGGUCAAGCUAGUACACCCUCUUUCCGCAAAAAAAGCUAGUACACCCUCUAGUUUCACAUAAAGUGAGUUUUGAACAUGUCUUUAGUAGGAUUUAGACAACACGUAAGCUAAUGUUUUUGAUGAGUAAAUAGGCAGUUUUUCGAUUAAAUUAAUCCAUGAGCAUGACAUGGACAACAUUGAUAACACACUGAUUACGAUCUAACAGAGCAUGUACUACGCACACGCAUAUUGCUAGUACUGCUACAACAGAAAGAAACACGAGAGGGGGAUAAACGAUGUGUACUCUCCAAUCGGGAACAGAAGCGAGCAGUCGCGUAGUCGCUACCCAGUGAACGGGACGGAGUCGCCGGCGGCAGCAGAGGAGGAGGAG
rnacentral:lncRNA from 1 species